GAGUUUGAUCCUGGCUCAGGACGAAGAGGAGGGGGGCUUAACACAUGCAAGUCGAACGGGCCCGUCCUUGUUUUUUUGGGGGCGGGUUGAGUGGCGAACGGGUGAGUAUCACGUGAGUAACCUGCCCUCCUCUCCUGGAUAACCGCUUGAUAGGGCGGCUAAUACGGGGUGGUCCGGUUGGUCCGCAUGGGCUGGUCGGGAUAGUUUCAUCUUCGGGUGUUUCGGUGGGGGAUGGGCUCGCGGCCUAUCAGCUUGUUGGUGGGGUGAUGGCCCACCAAGGCGGUGACGGGUAGCCGGCCUGAAAGGGUGGGCGGCCACACUGGGACUGAGACACGGCCCAGACUCCUGCGGGAGGCAGCAGUGGGGGGUAUUGCACAAUGGGCGGAAGCCUGAUGCAGCGACGUCGCGUGAGGGAUGGGGGCCUUCGGGUUGUGAACCUCUGUUUCCGGUGGUGAAGGCCCCGCCCUUGGUGGUGGGGUUGACGGUAGCCGGGUAUGAAGCGCCGGCUAACUACGUGCCAGCAGCCGCGGUAAUACGUAGGGCGCGAGCGUUGUCCGGAAUUAUUGGGCGUAAAGGGCUUGUAGGCGGCCGGCCGCGUCCGUCGUGAAAUCCUCCGGCUCAACCGGGGG
rnacentral:rRNA from 1 species